AUUGCUUCUUGGCCUUUUGGCUAAGAUCUGUUCUUUUCAGUGUAAUAUCUGAUGCAUCUUUUAUCUGAGGACAAUAUAUUAAAUAGAUUUUUGGAACUAGAAGAGGGAAUAGGAGCUUGCUCUGUUCCCUCCAUGCAUCAACCUGGUAUUGCGGUAAGUCCAGGAACGGUGCACCCCCU
ensembl:snRNA U2 U2 spliceosomal RNA